rnacentral:piRNA from 1 species
UAAAUCGCUCUUAGUGAUGUCAGGUUUCGAC